UACGGAGGGUGCAAGCGUUAUCCGGAUUUAUUGGGUUUAAAGGGUCCGUAGGCGGAUCUGUAAGUCAGAGGUGAAAGACGGCAGCUUAACUGUCGCAGUGCCUUUGAUACUGAUGAACUUGAAUGUACUAGAAGUAGGCGGAAUGUGACAAGUAGCGGUGAAAUGCAUAGAUAUGUCACAGAACACCGAUUGCGAAGGCAGCUUACUAUGGUAUUAUUGACGCUGAGGCACGAAAGCGUGGGGAUCAAACAGG
rnacentral:rRNA from 1 species